rnacentral:lncRNA from 1 species
CUACAGAGGCAGGCAGGCCUCCUUGAGCUGUGGUGGGCUCCACCCAGUUGGAGCUUCCCGGCUGCUUUGUUUACCUAAUCAAGCCUGGGCAAUGGCGGGCGCCCCUCCCCCAGCCUCGCUGCCGCCUUGCAGUUUGAUCUCAGACUGCUGUGCUAGCAAUCAGCGAGACUCCAUGGGCGUAGGACCCUCCAAGCCAGAUGAGGAGACGGAAGUCCAGAGGGUUUCAAUCGCUUGCCCAAAGUCACAGAGUCGGGAAGUGCAGAGCCAGGCCACUGCCUGGUUUUAAAUUCUGGGUGGAAAUGCAACGUGCCGGUCAACAUGGUGUGCUGAUGUUUCUGCCCUCUGGGGCCAAUUCCACCACUCCCUGGAAAGUGAUGUGAUGACCCUGGGCUUGAGUCCAAAGAACAUAGGAGAGUUUUGGCAGGUCGAUGGUGUGUUGGUGCCAACCCACUUAGAGCGAAAACUGUUUAAACCAGUUUUAAUUGGAUUUCCCUCACUUGCAACAAGGAAGACCUGAAUAAUAUUGCUUCUGUCUGUAUGUCCAAAUACUUUCAUUUUUCAAGAAGCAAUGUUAUACCAACGUCAGAACAAAGGAACACUUUAUGCUGAUCC